GGCCCUUAUUUGACUGUGUAUUUAAUAACUGCUGUUGCUGUUGAGAGUUGGUACAAUUUUCUCAAAGGAAUUUUCCAUCUCUGAAAGGAUCCUUUCAGAAUUCUAAAGCCGUCUCUUAUUUGACUGUGUAUUUAAUAACUGCAGUUGCUGCUGUUGCGAGUUGGUAAAAUUUUCUAAAAGGCAUUCUCCAUCUCUGAAAGGAUCCUUUCAGAAUUCUAAAGCCGGCCCUUAUUUGACUGUGUAUUUAAUAACUGCUGUUGCUACUGCGAGUUGGUACUAUUUUCUAAAAGGAAUUCUCCAUCUCUGAAAGAUCCUUUCAGAAUACUAAAGCCGGCCCACAUUUGACUGUUUUUUUUAAUAAUAACUGCUGCUGCUGCUGAGUGUUGGUACAAUUUUCUGAAAGGCAUUUUCCAUCUCUGAAAGUAUCCUUUCAGAAUUCUAAAGCCGACCCUUAUUUGACUGUGUAUUUAAUAACUGCUGCUGCUGGGAGUUGGUACAAUUUUCUUAAAGGCAUUUUCCAUCUCUGAAAGGAUCCUUUCAGAAUUCUAAAUCCGGCCCUUAUUUGACUGUGUAUUUAAUAAUUGCUGCUUUUGCUGCUGCUGAGAGUUGGUACAAAUUUCUAAAAGGCAUUUUCCAUCUCUGAAAG